GCACUGCUGACGAGCUCCAAACAGGACGAAACAGCUGUCUAGUGC
rnacentral:hammerhead_ribozyme from 1 species